rnacentral:other from 1 species
CUUCCCCUGCGUUGUGCGUGCUUGGAUAGCACAUUUUCAGAACCGUAACGUAUUUUCACGGGGGCCGUCCCUGGCGGCGGUGUGAAAUUCGCGACGAAUUUCCUGAAACCGUUACAUGGCGCCCACCUGGUUUACCAGGUUCGAAAAUCAGCUAUUCACACGGCAAAGGCGGGGGAAGA